UACGUAGGGGGCAAGCGUUGUCCGGAAUUAUUGGGCGUAAAGGGCGCGUAGGCGGCCAACUAAGUCAGACGUGAAAUCCCUCGGCUCAACCGGGGAACUGCGUCUGAUACUGGAUGGCUUGAAUUCGGGAGAGGGAUGCGGAAUUCCAGGUGUAGCGGUGAAAUGCGUAGAUAUCUGGAGGAACACCGGUGGCGAAGGCGGGUCUCUGGGCAGCAACUGACGCUGAGGAGCGAAAGCGUGGGGAGCGAACAGG
rnacentral:rRNA from 1 species